AAUUGUUUACAUUAUACAAACAAUUAUUAAGUGAUGUAACUUGUGUUAAAGAUCUUGAAUACAAAACUAAGUAUAUGUAUAUGGGGACAAAUGCUUUAAUAUAUCACAUUAGAUGAAAAUAACUCUUGUUUAUAACUUUAUGAAUUAUGAAUAACAUUUAAAAAUAUUAAAUAUUGUGUAAAAUAUGUUUAGUUUCAUUUAAUGCGAUAAUUAUUAGGAAUUGUUGAUUGUCGUCGUCGGAAAUUCAUUAAAUGUUUUCGAUGUAGUUAAAAAGAUUAAAAGAGGAGAUUUCAAAAUUGGCAUUAUUAUGGGAACUAGGCAAAACGCUGACAGUCAAAACGUCAACAGAUUAAAAUUUCAAUAGUUAAAAUAUUGAAAAAGACGAAGUACUAGUCCUUUUUAUUAGUGUAUUAUUUUUUUAUUAGUGUUAGUUCUUUCUUGGGAUUGGAUGAUUCAUUUUCAAUAAUGUACGCAAAGAUAAAUACAUCAUUAGUGUUUAAUUUGUCAUAUUACGAUAUUUAAUUUUAUUGCUCAUUAAAUUUCUUCCACCGUGGCUAAUUGCGAAAUGAGUUAAAAUAUCGAACAUACGUAACAUUCUAUAAUCCUAUAUUGUUUUAUUUAAUAUUUUUACUGACAACUUUGAUGAUUUUAAUUGAUCCAAACGACAGUUAUAUUCGUACUUAACCUAACCCUUUGUUACAAUUGCGUUUUUGUAAAAUAUUUAUACAAUUAAUUAUAUGUUAUAGGUACUUAAAUACUUUUAUUCUUUAUAAAAUUAAAUCUUUAAUAUUAUCUUUUUAAUAAGAUUUCCAAAAAGUUGAUUUACAACUUCUGAUUUUGUGCUUACAAAUAUUUUAUUUACAAUAACGGCUUACUAAUUGAUGACCAAAUAUUAAAUUGAAAAGAUAAUGUUGGUUGGUCAACUUCACGGACAUUUACACUCGGAGUAAUGGAAAUCUUACGUGAAAACAUAUUCAUAUAUAUUGGAAACCUACUUAAGAUUUACUAAAAGACAAUUUCAAUUUUACUGGGAAUAUUCCUAAUGACUUAGAAGUUGAUAUAGAAGGCAAUCCUUCUGGGCCUUAACCAAAUUUCCGGGAGACAAACAGCAGUCUACGUAUACCAGUUUUCCAAAGGUAAAGAAUAGAGCUAGGUCAAGUAGUCACUGCUGGACUAACUUUUGGAAACUAAUAGUAUAAGUGAGUAUAAGUAAGUAUAACUGCUAAUAUACAGUUCAUAAUCCUAUUAUUACUUAAUAUUAUAUAUCUUUAUAUAUCAUCAUGAUCGACCAAUUAGUAAAUACCACUACUCAUGGA